rnacentral:rRNA from 1 species
UACGUAGGCAGCAAGCGUUGUUCGGAGUUACUGGGCGUAAAGGGUGCGUAGGCGGCUUUUUAAGUUUGGUGUGAAAUCUCCCGGCUCAACUGGGAGGGUGCGCCGAAUACUGAGAGGCUAGAGUGUGGGAGAGGAAAGUGGAAUUCCUGGUGUAGCAGUGAAAUGCGUAGAUAUCAGGAGGAAUACCGAUGGCGAAGGCAGGUCUCUGGGCUGACACUGACGCUCAUGCACGAAAGCGUGGGGAGCAAACAGG